CCCGAAACCCUUCAUUGCAGAUCGUAAUAAAUUGGCAUCUGCUUCGGCAUCGAAAGGAUCAGCCGGAUACACGCUUCACUUACAAUUUGCGCAGAACACUGGCUUUUGGAACGAUUCUUCGUCACGAUCUACGAAUGUGAAUGUUUCGCACUGACACUGGGUGGGAACGUUCUGACAGCGGCAAUAUUAAGGACAGCAUUGAGAAGAGAGAGAGACUAUGUGCUGGUCAGUACUGGUGGGGUUGUCGACGUAGCAUCGAAUAAUGACGUGGAGAACGCAUCCUGUGGCAAGCCAAAAGAUGGCGAGUGAACCGUCGAAUUGAUGCCAUAUACGAAUCGAUAAAACUACAAUGAAAACAAUAUCUAUAUGUAUAUAAAAUAUCAAAAGCCCAUCGUAUUAUAUCAUUAGAUUAUAUACGUCACAGAA